UCGAGCGAUUUACUUCGGUAAAGAGCGGCGGACGGGUGAGUAACGCGCGGUUAACCUGCCCUGUACACACGGAUAACAUACCGAAAGGUAUGCUAAUACAAGAUAAAAUACUUUUAUCGCAUGGUAGAAGUAUCAAAGCUUUUGCGGUACAGGAUGGACCCGCGUCUGAUUAGCUAGUUGGUAAGGUAACGGCUUACCAAGGCGACGAUCAGUAGCCGACCUGAGAGGGUGAUCGGCCACAUUGGAACUGAGACACGGUCCAAACUCCUACGGGAGGCAGCAGUGGGGAAUAUUGCACAAUGGGCGAAAGCCUGAUGCAGCAACGCCGCGUGAGCGAUGAAGGCCUUCGGGUCGUAAAGCUCUGUCCUCAAGGAAGAUAAUGACGGUACUUGAGGAGGAAGCCCCGGCUAACUACGUGCCAGCAGCCGCGGUAAUACGUAGGGGGCUAGCGUUACCCGGAAUUACUGGGCGUAAAGGGUGCGUAGGUGGUUUCUUAAGUCAGAGGUGAAAGGCUACGGCUCAACCGUAGUAAGCCUUUGAAACUGGGGAACUUGAGUGCAGGAGAGGAGAGUGGAAUUCCUAGUGUAGCGGUGAAAUGCGUAGAUAUUAGGAGGAACACCAGUUGCGAAGGCGGCUCUCUGGACUGUAACUGACACUGAGGCACGAAAGCGUGGGGAGCAAACAGGAUUAGAUACCCUGGUAGUCCACGCCGUANACGAUGAGUACUAGCUGUCGGAGGUUACNCC
rnacentral:rRNA from 1 species